AUUGAACGCUGGCGGCAGGCCUAACACAUGCAAGUCGAGCGGAUGAAGGGAGCUUGCUCCUGGAUUCAGCGGCGGACGGGUGAGUAAUGCCUAGGAAUCUGCCUGGUAGUGGGGGAUAACGUCCGGAAACGGGCGCUAAUACCGCAGACGUCCUGAGGGAGAAAGAGGGGGAGCUUCGGACCUCACGCUAUCAGAUGAGCCUAGGUCGGAUUAGCUAGUUGGUGGGGUAAAGGCCUACCAAGGCGACGAUCCGUAACUGGUCGGAGAGGAUGAUCAGUCACACUGGAACUGAGACACCGUCCAGACUCCUACGGGAGGCAGCAGUGUGGAAUAUUGGACAGUGGGCGAAAGCCUGAUCCAGCCAUGCCGCGUGUGUGAAGACGGUCUUCGGAUUGUAAAGCCCUUUUAGUUGGGAGGAACGGCAGUAAGUUAAUACCUUGCUGUUUUGACGUUACCAACAGAAUAAGCACCGGCUAACUUCGUG
rnacentral:rRNA from 1 species